CACGCUGCCUAUCCCUUGUUGCGUGGGUCUUUGUCAGACUCUUAGAUUUGGAUUUGAGCUUGAAAAAUUACAGAAGCGGCUGUCUAGCGGAUUCGAGAUUGUUCGGUAAGAGUUCUGGUUCCAAGUCAUCGUCUAUUGGGAUUUAAAAUCUGUUAGGAAGAGAUUUUGGAGUCGAAAUCUUGGGAGUGGUUGUUGAUCAAGUUUCUUUGGGACCGUUACUUCAAAUCGCUGUCAUCGUUUGGUUGUCUGAUUUGAUUUGUGGAUUUUCAAUUAAGGUAAGGGUAGAGAUGCACCGGCGAUGGAC